UCUAAAUGGGUUGUAUCUGGGAGCAGAGCCUGUACUGAGGUGGAGAAGCCUGCUCCUUGGCUCAUAACUCAACAGAGGUGGAGAAGCCUGCUCCUUGGCUCAUAACUCAACAGAGGUGGAGAAGCCUGCUCCUUGGCUCAUAACUCAACAGAGGUGGAGAAGCCUGCUCCUUGGCUCAUAACUCAACAGAGGUGGAGAAGCCUGCUCCUUGGCUCAUAACUCAACAGAGGUGGAGAAGCCUGCUCCUUGGCUCAUAACUCAACAGAGGUGGAGAAGCCUGCUCCUUGGCUCAUAACUCAACAGAGGUGGAGAAGCCUGCUCCUUGGCUCAUAACUCAACAGAGGUGGAGAAGCCUGCUCCUUGGCUCAUAACUCAACAGAGGUGGAGAAGCCUGCUCCUUGGCUCAUAACUCAACAGAGGUGGAAAGCCUGAGCAAGUAGCAUUCUGUGUUCUAUCACACUCCUUCCAUUACAUAUCAAAAGAGGAUAGAGGUAGCUAAUUACAUGUAUGCUUUACCUUGUCUACGUACAAAUUUCCAUUUAAAGAGGGGUAACAAAUCUUCAUUCGAUGCACAGUAGUAUUUGCUCUACAGUUGCUAUUAUACGUUUCCAGAAAAGGAUACAUGCGUGUGAUGUAAUUUGAUGUCUGUGUUGCAUUAAUUGGUAUAGCAACAGAAAUAACUGGCCUUCACAUUUCCUGACAUUUUAUUGUUUACCUAUAAAUGUGCAUUAACACAGAGGCUGAUGUGGAUUGGCUGUGUGUGUGACAAUGUGGCAUUGUGGCCAGUCAGAGCCCCCCCUGGUUGUGUUAGUCCUACCUUCACUACAUCACUUUGUUCCCAGACCCAGACAUAACACAGAGGGCCAAGGGUUGUCUUAUAGUCGCCCUUGCU